UACGUAGGUGGCAAGCGUUGUCCGGAUUUACUGGGUGUAAAGGGCGUGCAGCCGGGCCGACAAGUCAGAUGUGAAAUCCGCGGGCUUAACCCGCGAACUGCAUUUGAAACUAUUGGUCUUGAGUACCGGAGAGGUCAUCGGAAUUCCUUGUGUAACGGUGAAAUGCGUAGAUAUAAGGAAGAACACCAGUGGCGAAGGCGGAUGACUGGACGGCAACUGACGGUGAGGCGCGAAAGCGUGGGGAGCAAACAGG
rnacentral:rRNA from 1 species